GGCGGCCGCGCUAAGUGCGGGGCGGCUGUGGCCCGGCCUCUCAGGGUCCCCCCCUCAACGGGGGUGUGGCCGGGUUGGGGGACACGCGGAACGCAGCUGUGCUUCGGGUCGCCGGCAGUGGGGCCCCACUCUCGCCUCUCCUCCACCGCCAGGGGCUUGGCGGGGUCUCGGGGGAAGCGGGCAGCACCGCGUGCCCCCCCCACCAACCCCAGCUCAGACAUCGAGGAGACGCAAAUAGGGGAGCAGGGCCUGGUGUGCCCAACCUCUGGAUGCCCUCCCCUGAAUAUAACUGUGGUGGGCAGCCAAGCAGCUUCGGGGCCCUGACCUUCAGAAGGCUUCUCUGGAUCGUCUUGGGGAGCGGCCUGGCCGUGACGGGGGCAGCCUGUAAUUAAAGAUCGCCAGGGCCAAGGCUCCAGGAGGAGGGUCUCCUCAGGAAGGGGGCCAUCAGACCCUCCCUGUGGGACUCUUCGGAAGCUCCCAGCUGGCGGCUCUUCUGUCCCCUGGCCAGGCCAGCUCCGCGCAGGCUGGGCAGAGUCAGGGAGGCAGAGAUCGGUCGCUAGGCCAGGGACUUUCGGGGCACCUUGCUGGCUGUGAGGGGUCCUCGGGCCGCACUCUGGGAUCCCCGACGCCGGCGCAGGGCCGCUCUGUGGGUAUCCGCGGAGGUUUCAGGGCCGCUUUGAAGAGCUACAAGAGGGUGUGGAGCGCACGAUGUCUCAGCCGGGUCAGCCCCUGCGCUGACUGGCCGCAGUGAGGCCGCCUACCUUCUGAUCCUAAACUAGGGGCUUUAGUCCGCAGAAGACUACCCGGGAGGAAGCAAAAGCGUGUGGGGUGAGGCCUAAGGUGGAAACAGUGGCCUGGAGGACAAUAGUGGACAAGUGAGUUCGAGUGAAAAGGGACAGCCUGUGUGUUGAGAGAUUGACGAGUUUCAGCGUCGUGAAGGAGGUAAACUCGAUGGUCAGGUCCUGAACUUUCUGCAUCAGUGCGGAGUUCCUGGCUCCUGAAACGCUGGCUCUCAAAAGGGAUGGAUCUCUGAGACCCAGACGCUGGCAGCCUCCUCCUAACAGCCGGAGAAGGAUAGCGUGUUUCCUGCAGUGGUCUGGGGCUGCAGAAGCUUGGACCUGGGUCCAACCCUCCUGGGAGGGCUCGGUCCCCCCCCUCCCCCCAGUGAACGCCUUGAACAGUUACACACCGGUUUCCAAUGAACCCCGCUCGGAUUCCACGACUUCAUCUCACGGAGGAGCCGGCUUGCUCUGGGACAGAUAAGGGCUCCCGGAGAAAGGGGCCGGUCACCACGGCCGCCCUAUCCGACUGCGUGAUCAACUAGUGCCCCAGUAAUAACCAUCCGGACCCUUGCCUCGGGGCGUCCUUGGCCGGCCGCGAGGGGGCGUGAAGUUAGGAGAGCCGCACGCGAGACCCCCACGGGAGAGAACCGCACCGGAAAGCCCUCUCGACUGUACCCCAGGCCCGGCCAGCGCAAGCCAGCAUGGGCCCAUUCAGAGCCUCCGUGGUCAGGCCGCAGGAGAGAGGACUGACGCAUGAAAUCGUGGUCUCAUCUGAGCGGAAUGGCCCCGACAACAGAAAGAAAACCGAGGCUCAACAAGGUGAAAGUCACACAGGUAGUGGCCCAGGCAGCACCUGGCGUCCAUCCUGGGUUGCAGGAAGCUAUGCAUCCACCCCGGUUGUCAAACAGGCCUGGCAGGAGCCGGAGGAGGGAAAAGCACUGCUGUUUGCUCCUCCAAAUGUAGGGGGUCUGCUGGGAAACUCAGAGCAGAUGGUAUGGGAGAGAGGACCAGAAAUCGCUGCCCUUUGAUGUCUCCCUAGCCAAGAAUGCAAGCCUCUCUCACCCCCAGCAUCCCCUUAAAGAAGCCCUGGCCUUUAGGAGAAGGUGGAGGGGAACAUGUCAGGAGCAUGAGGUGAGCAGUAGCUUAUGUUUGUACAACUUUAUUGUUCAGUCUUGAAGCCCAGUGAGAAGCCUUGGAGGGGAGCCUUGCUUUGAUAAUAGCAAUAUCAAAGACAGGGACUACCUUUAUUACAGCUCAUUCAUUACAUGCUAGACACUAAGCACUUUGCUGGGCUUAUCCUGAAUGACCAGUUAGGUUUAUCAUUGAGCAGUCUCAAGAGCCAAGAUAUAACUUUGCC
ensembl:lncRNA